AGCUCCAAUAGCGUAUAUUAAAGUUGUUGCAGUUAAAAAGCUCGUAGUUGGAUCUCAGGGUGAGCUCAGUCGGUCGGCCUAAUUGGUCAGAACUGGCUGACUCUCCCUUGUUUCUGAAUCCCUUCCGGAGUUAACUCUUCGGUAGUGGACUUCAGAUCGUUUACCUUGAAAAAAUUAGAGUGUUCAAAGCGGGCGUUUGCUUGAAUACAUUAGCAUGGAAUAAUGGAAUAGGACCCUGGUUCUAUUUUGUUGGUUUUGAGGACCAGAGUAAUGAUUAAUAGGGAUAGUUGGGGGCAUUCAUAUUUAAUUGUCAGAGGUGAAAUUCUUGGAUUUAUGAAAGAUGAACUUCUGCGAAAGCAUUUGCCAAGGAUGUUU
rnacentral:rRNA from 1 species